GGAAAAACCUUGCUAUUUUCAGAAAAACCCUACGGGUCUGAAAACGCCGAGUGGCCAAAUGGCAAUGACAAAGGAGGUGAGGCUAACGGAGAUACAAGGCAGAGGAAGGUCAUUAGUGGCGGCUGAGCCACUCAAAGGCGGCCAAAUCGUUCUCCGCGACUCUCCUCUCCUCCUCUACUCCGCUCUUCCUCUCCUCACUCCCUCUCCUCCCCCUUAUUGCGACCACUGCUUCAAAACCCUAAACCCACAAACCGCCCCCAUUUCACUCUGCCAAUCCUGCUCCCUCCACGCCUUCUGCACCCCCAAUUGCCUCUCCGCCGCCCAGUCCUCCUCCCACACUCAAUGGGUCUGCCAAUCUCUCACGAAAUUACGAAAUUGCCACUCCCCGCUCUCCGGCCAGCCCGCCGACCGUCAGGUCCAAGCUCGCUUCUUGAUCGCCGCUUACAACCUCGCCGUCACUUCGCCGUCGAGUUUCCAGGUGCUGCUCUCUCUUCAGGGCCAGCCGCAGGACUCCGCCGCCGACGCUCAGUUCCUGCAUUCUCUGAUUUCGACCCUCUGCCCUCCGCCGCCGCCGCAGCAGCAACUGUUUUCGGUGGAGCUCACGGCGGCGCUGCUGGCCAAGGACAAGAUGAAUGCGUUUGGAUUGAUGGAGCCCCCUUCGGAAUUUGGGCUGAGAUCGAGCAGAGCCUAUGGUAUUUAUCCCAAGGCCUCGUUUUUCAACCAUGAUUGUCUCCCCAAUGCGUGCCGAUUUGAUUAUGUUGAUGAAGGCAGCACGGAGAUUAUUGUGAGGAUGAUUCACGAUGUUCCGGAGGGGAGGGAGAUUUGCCUGAGCUACUUUCCAGUUAACCAGGCUUAUUCGAGCAGGCAGAGGACUCUGGCUGAGGACUAUGGGUUUGUGUGUCAAUGUGAUCGAUGCAAGGUUGAGGCGAAUUGGUCUGACAAUGAGGAGGAAGGUGGUUCGGCUGAGGUUAUGGAUGAGGACCAAGACCAGGAAAUGGAAGGAGAAUCGGAAUCAGAAGCUGGGAGUGACAUUGAAGUAGAAGCUCAAGGAGAAGCUGAUUUUCCACAUGCAUAUUUCUUUGUGAGAUUUAUGUGUAGUAGAACCCAUUGCUGGGGCACGCUAGCGCCUUUGCCCCCGAAAGACGAUGGAACUCCUUCGGAUGCUAUGGAAUGCAAUGUGUGUGGAAGUGUUAAGAAAGAUGAGGAGAUUAGUGGUCAUGGACAAAAUGGGCUCUCUUUGGAUGGCUAACUGCUCCUUAUUGCUGCUUUAUGGAAAUACCAUAAUGCAAACAAAGAAAACAACACCCACCAAUCAAGGAUAUUUAUAUAAAGACGCUGUGACUUUGCAACAUUGGUGAAGUACUGGGAUGAUGCAGUUUACCCACGAGUUUUUACCGGGUGGCCAACAGCAAUCAUUUGAAGUUUAUGUUUUAGGCAGCAAGUUUUUGCUUUGCUCGAAAGGAUGGGGAGAGUGAACAAAGCCGUACCAAUUGUUAUUAUCUUUCUUAAAGCUAAUGACAGUCAUAGAUUUGUACUAACGUAUUUGUAAUAAGGUUUGGAAGACUACAAUCAUUUGUUCCUUCAACCAAUCUCUCUGCUCCAACAAAUUUCCCUAAUCUCUCUAAGUGGAUCAUUUCUCUUUUCGGUAAGGAAUCUUCAGCAACUAUGGAAGAUUGUAAUCUUAUGGGCUGGCAAAUUUGGGGAGCGAGGAACAAUUUUAUUUUCAACAAUACUCCUGCUUUCCCAAAUAAUGUCAUUCAUAUUGCUGCCUCAGUUGGUUCCAACUACAGAAGAAACAAUUCGCCUUCUAUCAAGCUAAGGCUGGCUCCUUUUGGUUCAAUUUCUGUCUAACCUGCAUGUGUAGAUGCACGUUGACCUCGACUGGAGUUAGAAAUCAGAGAUUGCUGAGUUGUGGUGGUUUCGACUCCUCAGUUCAUCAUCAGUCGAGUUCCGGAAGGAUUUCCGAAAAUCUGCUGCGAGUUGGAAUAGAUGCUUGAGGUUUCAACCUGCAAAUUAUACUUAACUGAAUGUAAAUUCGAGGUUCUGGACAGAAAUGUUUCUUGAUUUACUUUUGGCCUGAGAAUUUGGUUGAUUUGUGUUGAAUGGGACGUUGUUGGUA